GGUUGUGGCUCAUCGGUAGAGUGCUCGCCUGGCAUGCAUGAGGCCCUGAGUUCCAUCCUCAACACCA
rnacentral:tRNA from 1 species